rnacentral:rRNA from 1 species
UACGGAGGGUGCGAGCGUUGUCCGGAAUCACUGGGCGUAAAGGGCGCGUAGGCGGCCUGAUAAGUAGGGGGUGAAAUCCUGCGGCUUAACCGCAGGGCUGCCUUCUAAACUGUCAGGCUCGAGCACAGUAGAGGCAGGUGGAAUUCCCGGUGUAGCGGUGGAAUGCGUAGAGAUCGGGAAGAACAUCAGUGGCGAAGGCGGCCUGCUGGGCCGUUGUGCGACGCUGAGGCGCGACAGCGUGGGGAGCAAACAGG